UGUAAUUCAGAAACCAGGGAGAAUGGUUUAAAACUAUUUAUUGAAAAUGAGACUGUUUCUUGCAUGAAAUAAUCUUAUUGGAAAAGUUACCUUUUCACAUCCACGGCACUCGGAAAAUCUAGAUCAUUUGUAAAGCAAAGGGCACAACAGAAAUUGAUUUUUGUUGGCAUGAGGUUGGUCUUUGUACUUUGAUUAGUGGCUUGAAGCUGGUGAGUCAUGUGAUGUUCUGAUAUUUUGGGGGAGGGUAUUCAGACUGAGAUCAUAAGCCUUUUUGACCUUGACUUUGAGCAGAGUAUUGCGGGAAGUCUUAUGUCACCCCUAAGUCUCUGGCUGUUUGCAACCUUAUGCUAUCUUUUGGAUUAAUCUCUUGCAUUAAGCAGGCCUCUUCCCUCCCUCACUGUGACAUUCCUAGACUCUACAGUUUUGGAUGGUUUUGUAACAUCUACAGGGGAAAGCCCACAUCCGUCAUUCUAGCCUUCUUGCUCCUCUAAGCUCUAACUGGAUCUGACUUCACUUUCAGCCUUCUUGCUCUCUUGCCUCCAUGGUGUGAACCCUCUGCUACCUUCACCCUCUCUCGCUGCUCAGCAUAACUCUGGGCACAUCUCACCUACUUCAGGAUUCAAGCUUCUGUGUGGCCUGUGUGCUCUGAGAUAUCUACUCCUUUUCCAGGGAAAGAGGGGAGAACCAGAGAGAAGAGGCUUGGAGAAGAGGGUGCAUCCUCCAUUUACAUGGAUGGAGGAGGGGAGCAAAGCCAGAGAGGCUGAAGAAGAACCAGGAGAAAGGUCUCAGAAGCUAAGGAAAGGGUUUCAAGAACAACAGGGAGAUCAUCAACACCAAGUGCUGCAAAAGGUCAAGCUGGACAAGACAUGAGAAAAGGCUUCGGGAUAGAUGGAGAAAACGGAAGAGGCUGAGUCGCUUGUACAAAGUGUCACUGCCAGGGAGUGGCUGAGCUGGGAUUUGAACCCGUACCUGUCUGCCUGCAGAGUCUGCAUGUUCAAACUGCUAUAGUGGGGGGCAUUGAAGACUCCAGUCUAGAGCAUAGACUGAACUGUAAGAUGAUGACCUAAAAUGCAUCAGAUCCUGACUGCACACUCAAAACCUCUAAUUCUGUGACUCUUAUCCAAGUUGUGUCUAUUAAAGAGGAAAAUGAGCUUCUGCCCCUAAUUGAUUCUAAUUCUCCCCCACCCCCGGGUUCACUGUCAUUUUGGCCACACUUGGAAAGAUGAACACUAACCACUAGAAUUUGCUCUCUGAGGAUCCUGCUCUGACUCUCAAGCGGGAGAAGGCACCCGAUGUCUGGUUCCUUCGCCUGCGCUGAGGAAUAAAGGAACCUGAAAAUACACUGCCAUUUCAAAAAGAGCCUGCCUGCCACAAAGCAAACCUCCAAGUUGGCUAUAUCAUCAUCCUCUGUUUCCAGAUGUGGACCCUGAGGCACAGAGAACUUCAGUAACUUGCCCUAAGUCAUAUGUCUGGUACUGGAUGAGGUGCUGGUGACGCAGUAAUAAGGAAGGUCAGCGUCUCUGGCCUCACAAACAUACUGGCUAGUGGAGCAGAAGUCAAUGGAAGAGCAAAUAAAGGCAUUUUACACAUUGUGAUAAAUUCUGGGAGUGCAGCAAGUGGAGAUAUUAUGACACAAUAUGGCCGUCCCAGUACAGAGCAUGGUGAACUGAUCAAUGUCUCGUUUCCAGAAAAUAUAAUUCUCUGAAUGCAGCCUAAAACUGCAUUUGUGUUGUUUCUUUUUUUAUUAGCCACCUUACACUUUUUAUCUGUAUUGAGCCAAAAUAAAAUUUUUAUUAUACAAAGUAUUUUCAGUAAAUACUUAUUAUACAAAGUGACUGCAGCAAAUGUGUGAAACAGAAAGAAGAAGGUGACCUGUAUUAUCACCACUGAGAGUUACUGCUUGCUACCUUUUGGAUCUUCUUCCUAUUAAUAACUAUGUUUAUGUAUGUGUCUUAUAAUUUUAUAAACUGGUUUGAUCCACUUACGAAAAUGUUACAUGUUAUUUUCCCCCACGUCAGGAAGUAUCCUAUAUUAUCAUCCAUCGUGGUGACAUGAUAUUGCACUGUGUGGUCAAGCGAAACACCUCAUCACUUUUGGAUGCGAAGCAGUUAAACCAGGUCUUCCUCCUUCUGUACUUGUGUAAUUUUUUUUUUCUAACCUAAAUGUAGGACUUUACAUUUUUAUUAAAAAAUCGUAUUGUUGCUUUUGAGAUAAAUUAUUAGUCUGUUAUGAUCUUUUAAGUCAUGAUUUCAUUAACCAAUCUCUCCCAGGUUGAUACGAUUUUAAAAUCAGUAAGGAUCAAAAUCACUGAUACAUCAUUUUAAGUAGGAUAGAGCCUCAUAGCAUUCCCUUGGAAACCCCCCUACAGUUACUCCAUUGAUCAAACACUGUUUAGUUCUGAUCAAUUAAUAAUUUUAGCUGUACUAUCCUGUGGCUUGUUUCUCCAUUGGAAAAUAAGAACUUUCAAAAACAAGAAAAAAUACUGCCAAUCACUUUACCAUUUGGAUUCGUUAUGUCUGUCAUAUUCCCUUUUAUGCUCAUCUUAUAAUUUUAUUAAUGACAGAAGAUUGGUUUGGUACUCCUUGUUCUUUUUGAACUCAUGCUGUUGUUCUGGAGAAAAAGAAAUUGGUCAAAUACUAAAAUCCAAUUCAAAUUCCUUGUCAUUCUUGAAUGUAUAGAUUGGGCUUAAAGGUCUUAAUCUUGACACAUUCCUCAAUUUGGAGAUUAAA
ensembl:lncRNA